GCCCUGCGCGGUGAAGAAGCGGCGGCCGCAGAGUGGAGGCAUUUUGUGUCCGUGAUAGCAGCCGCGCGAUAUACAAGAUGGCGGCGGCUGCUGAGUGAAGUACCAGCGGUGGCGGCCGGGAUCCGGCGGUGCCAGCUGCGCUCGGACCCCCAGAGCCUCCCGGUGCCACUCCCGUAUCUCUGGAGCGGGCAGAGAGUGUAGUGGCGCCCGGCCGGGGAGUAGGGCAGAGCCGCGGAGGAGGACGCCCGCCGCAGGGGCCCGGCCUAAGCUGAGCGGCGGGGACCAGAUUCCUCCUCCGCUGCCGCCUCCUCCCAGGCGGCGUAGAGCCUCCCCAGGCCCGUUGUUCCAGCGUAGGGCCCCCACCUCACUUCCCCUCAGCGCCGGGAGGGCCGCGAGCCGCCCCUCACCAUGGCGAGCAGCAGCGGCUCCAAGGCCGAGUUCAUCGUCGGGGGUAAAUACAAGCUGGUGCGGAAGAUCGGGUCGGGCUCGUUCGGGGACAUCUAUCUGGCCAUCAACAUCACCAACGGGGAGGAAGUGGCUGUGAAGUUGGAGUCUCAGAAGGCCAGGCAUCCCCAGUUGCUGUACGAGAGCAAAUUGUACAAGAUUCUGCAAGGGGGAGUUGGCAUCCCACACAUAAGGUGGUAUGGUCAAGAGAAAGACUAUAAUGUUCUAGUUAUGGAUCUUCUGGGACCCAGCCUUGAAGACCUCUUCAACUUCUGUUCCCGCAGGUUCACAAUGAAAACAGUACUUAUGUUAGCAGACCAGAUGAUCAGUAGAAUUGAAUAUGUGCACACAAAGAAUUUUAUACACAGAGACAUUAAACCAGAUAACUUCCUAAUGGGUAUCGGGCGUCACUGUAAUAAGUGUUUAGAAUCUCCAGUGGGGAAGAGGAAAAGAAGCAUGACUGUUAGUACUUCUCAGGACCCAUCUUUCUCAGGAUUAAACCAGUUAUUCCUUAUUGACUUUGGUUUGGCCAAAAAGUACCGGGACAACAGGACAAGGCAACACAUACCAUACAGAGAAGACAAAAAUCUCACUGGCACAGCUCGAUAUGCCAGUAUCAAUGCACAUCUUGGCAUUGAGCAGAGUCGUCGAGAUGAUAUGGAGUCUCUAGGCUAUGUAUUGAUGUAUUUUAACAGAACCAGCCUGCCUUGGCAAGGAUUAAAGGCUGCAACAAAGAAGCAAAAGUAUGAAAAGAUUAGUGAAAAGAAGAUGUCCACUCCUGUUGAGGUUUUGUGUAAGGGAUUUCCUGCAGAAUUUGCCAUGUACCUGAACUACUGUCGUGGCCUUCGCUUUGAAGAGGCACCGGAUUACAUGUAUCUGAGGCAAUUAUUCCGUAUUCUUUUCAGGACCCUGAACCACCAAUAUGACUACACAUUCGACUGGACAAUGUUAAAGCAGAAAGCAGCACAGCAAGCCGCCUCUUCCAGUGGGCAGGGGCAGCAGGCCCAAACCCCCACAGGCAAGCAAACUGACAAAUCCAAGAGUAACAUGAAAGGGUCCAUCUUAGACAAUAAGGGUUUAUGAACAUCUGUCUGCAGUGUUUACAACUUCAGAGUCAUCAUCUGCCGGUACCACUAGAUUGCCGCAACUAAAUAUGCGUCAGACAGUAAAUUACCUGAAUCAAGAAAAGACUUUCUUCAUUAUCCAGUAAAACCAUGGAUGCGUUAGUAAUCAGGAUCAGCCCAUUCCAACCAGACUCCUUUGGUGACAAGAUUGCUUGGUUCAUUUAUGCAACAAAUUCUCCCUUUCGUCUUGUUCAGAGCAAACAUUUCAUUGAUGUGGCGCAGUCGUUAUGAUGAGGCUACACACUACUGGCAGAGCAGACCAUGCUGGAAAGUUACUGGACACAGAGUGUGAGAAUGAAAUUGAACACUGUGUGCAAAAAAAAUUUACGGGAAAUUUCAUUAAUCUGAGUCUUGAUGAGUGGAGCAACGUACACAAUGAUCCAAUAAUCUGUGCUUGUGUGACAACAGAAGAUGGGGUUGUCUAUCUUACAAGAACAAUUGAUACAUCAGGAAAUAUCCACAUAGCAGAAUACUUAUCAGUAGCAGUAAAAGCUAUAACAAGUUGAACAAAAAUUAAAGUGUGUAGCAUCAUAGACAAUGCUGCAAAUGUAGCAAAGAUGAGAAGAUAUCCAGAAGAAAAUAAUGAAGGGACCCUAAAACUUAUAACUUGGGGUUGCAGUGCUCAUUUGAUUAAUCUUUUAGCCGAAGUUCACCUCCAGGAAUAAAUGAAAAUGUUGAAAUUUCAAAAUAAUUCCCUAACAACCACUUCAGCUUUGCUGAAGAGAGGAGGAGGAGGAUCCAAACCAAUUCUCACCCAAUAUGUACAAUGGGAUUAGUAGUUGACUUUUGAGAAAUCUAAGUGCUGUGUAUUCUGGAAGGCUUUCUGACUACAGAACUAGUGAAAUGGUGACAUCACAAGAGCUAAAAGCUGAGCCGUUAAAGGAAAGAGAUUUUUUUUAAUCGCUGGUUUUAAAAUUCUUUUUUAAAAUCUGUUCAAUGAUUGACUCUGGAUAAAGAAAAUUUGCAAGUUUCAGCAUUCUAGUCCCUUCAGUAAGUCAUUAGUGUUCAGACUUCCCUCCAAAAAAAGUCAGGCAUUUCUAAGUUCAAAAACAAAAAUAAACAACCUUUCAGGCUUUUAUCCCUCAUGAAAUAGCAAUGGCCGCAAGUCCAAUUUUAAAAUACUGGUCACCUUUAAAGGUUUUGGGGAAUCAAAAUGACCUCAUGGGGGUGAUUUGAUUGAAGAUUUCUUGUGUGGUAAAUGAUCUAAUGGCUGCAUCUGUUUGAGAACAGAAUUUCAGUUUUCCAGUAACUGCUCUCAAAUGAAUUGGGGGGGGGGGGAAACUAUCAGAUGGCCAGAGACAUUCAUAAACAAAAUGCACCUUGAUUUGUGAACAUCUCACUACAACACUUCAGUCUACGGUGUUCCUUAAAGUCUGGGGCCUGCCUACAAUUCUUAAACCUGAGCAUUUCCAGUCGCACCAUUAUAAGUAGACAACUACAAAGGGCUUAAAUGGAGCCCUGAGGGAUCUGUAAAAGUAACUGGUGCCCAGCCAAAGCAGUGGCUCCCUCCAAACACAUCACAAUGUGCCUUUUUAAAAUAAGGAUCUGAAGCAAACCAGCUGAUAGUUGUUUCAUGGAGUGAAAAGGCAUUUUAAAGUAUUUCUGCACAGUUCCAAAACGGUUCUAAUCCGGCUGGCCCCAAAGAACGGGAUCAAAUCUGCUUCCUGCCACUUGAUGCUCCUCCGAGAGACUGUCAUCAGGUGACCGGUGGGGACAUUCUGCAAAAUACACACACACACACACACACACAGCAUUACAGACAAGUAGAAAACAACUCUGUGAAAUUACACCCUGCUUCCUAGUGGCAAGAACACAUCUUGUUCUUAAAUUCUAUGGCUGGCUGCCAAACUGAAUGGCCAUUUGAAGGACUUUGCAUCUAGUUAGUGCAUAUGUGUACUGUUGCUAUAAAUUUAUAAGCAUGCGAUGUUGGUUCGGAACAGUGAUCAGUCAAACCACGUUUAGCUUUAGAAAAGGAAAGCAGGGACCAUACCGUUCUAAAAUGGAACAACAUUUUCUCUGUAAAUGACCAGAAUUAUUUGUGUUUAACCCUGCCAUCCCGGAGGCUGUUCCGUUUUUCUUUUCAAAUAUCAGUAAGUUGCCUUUGUUUAUCUUACAGGUUUCUGAGCAUGAAGAGAGGAACAAACAAA